AGUGAACGCUGGCGGUAGGCCUAACACAUGCAAGUCGAACGGCAGCACAGUAAGAGCUUGCUCUUACGGGUGGCGAGUGGCGGACGGGUGAGGAAUACAUCGGAAUCUACUUUUUCGUGGGGGAUAACGUAGGGAAACUUACGCUAAUACCGCAUACGGCCUACGGGUGAAAGCAGGGGAUCUUCGGACCUUGCGCGAUUGAAUGAGCCGAUGUCGGAUUAGCUAGUUGGCGGGGUAAAGGCCCACCAAGGCGACGAUCCGUAGCUGGUCUGAGAGGAUGAUCAGCCACAGUGGAACUGAGAGACGGUCCAGACUCCUACGGGAGGCAGCAGUGGGGAAUAUUGGGCAAUGGGCGCAAGCCUGAUCCAGCCAUACCGCGUGGGUAAAGAAGGCCUUCGGGUUGUAAAGCCCUUUUGUUGGGAAAGAAAAGCAGCAGGUUAAUACCCCGCUGUUCUGACGGUACCCAAAGAAUAAGCACCGGCUAACUUCGUG
rnacentral:rRNA from 1 species